UUCCGGUUGAUCCUGCCGGACCCGACUGCUAUCAGAGUGGGACUAAGCCAUGCGAGUCGACGUAGCAAUGCGUGGCGAACGGCUCAGUAACACGUAGUCAACAUGCCCAGGGGACGUGGAUAACCUCGGGAAACUGAGAAUAAACCACGAUAGGUCACGAUUUCUGGAAUGGAUCAUGGCAUAAAUCUACAUGGCCCCUGGAUUGGACUGCGGCCGAUCAGGCAGUUGGUGAGGUAAUGGCCCACCAAACCUAUAACCGGUACGGGCUCUGAGAGGAGAAGCCCGGAGAUGGGCACUGAGACAAGGGCCCAGGCCCUAUGGGGCGCAGCAGGCGCGAAACCUCUGCAAUAGGCGAAAGCCUGACAGGGUUACUCUGAGUGAUUUCCGCUAAGGGGAUCUUUUGGCACCUCUAAAAAUGGUGCAGAAUAAGGGGUGGGCAAGUCUGGUGUCAGCCGCCGCGGUAAUACCAGCACCCCGAGUGGUCGGGACGAUUAUUGGGCCUAAAGCAUCCGUAGCCGGUUCUGCAAGUCUUCCGUUAAAUCCAGCCGCUCAACGGAUGGGCCGCGGAGGAUACUAUAGGACUAGGAGGCGGGAGAGGCAAGCGGUACUCAGUGGGUAGGGGUAAAAUCCUUUGAUCCAUUGAAGACCACCAGUGACGAAGGCGGCUUGCCAGAACGCGCUCGACGGUGAGGGAUGAAAGCUGGGGGAGCAAACCGGAUUAGAUACCCGGGUAGUCCCAG
rnacentral:rRNA from 1 species